rnacentral:RNase_P_RNA from 1 species
GAAGUGCGUUCUAUCGCUGUGAUGGGAGACCAUUAGAGAGGAAAGUCCGGACAACGCAGAGCAUCACGCCACUUAAUCGGUGGACCAGGUGGAGUAAUCCAUUUGGAUAGAAAGGGUCACAGAAAAUAACCGCCUUGUAUCGUUCGCGAUAUUCGGUAAGGGUGAAAAUGUGUGGUAAGAGCACACGGUAGAUUAAAGCAAUUUAAUCUAUGGAUAAACCUCGUGAGUUGAAAUGCCAUGUAUAUCCAUUGUCCUGGCGACAGGCCCGAUGGCUCAAUCGGUAUGCAAAUAGAUGGAAGGGUAGGCAGCUAAGAUCGGCCAGGUGACUGGCCGGCCAGAUAAAUGAUAGAAAUCCGCAAAAACGGGUACAGAAUCCGGCUUACAGCACUUUUUUC